GAUGAACGCUGGCGGUAUGCUUAACACAUGCAAGUCGAACGAAGUCUUCGGACUUAGUGGCGGACGGGUGAGUAACGCGUGAGUAUCUGCCUUCAGGAUGGGGACAACAGUUGGAAACGACUGCUAAUACCCGAUGUGCCGCAAGGUGAAAGAUUUAUCGCCUGAAGAGGAACUCGCGUCUGAUUAGCUAGUUGGUGGGGUAGAAGCCUACCAAGGCGACGAUCAGUAGCUGGUUUGAGAGGAUGAUCAGCCACACUGGGACUGAGACACGGCCCAGACUCCUACGGGAGGCAGCAGUGGGGAAUUUUCCGCAAUGGGCGCAAGCCUGACGGAGCAAUACCGCGUGAGGGAGGAAGGCCUUUGGGUUGUAAACCUCUUUUGAUUGGGAAGAAGCUCUGACGGUACCAAUCGAAUAAGCAUCGGCUAACUCCG
rnacentral:rRNA from 1 species